rnacentral:rRNA from 1 species
UACGUAGGGUGCAAGCGUUGUCCGGAAUUAUUGGGCGUAAAGAGCUCGUAGGCGGUUUGUUGCGUCGGCUGUGAAAUCCCCGAGGCUCAACCUCGGGUCUGCAGUCGAUACGAGCAAACUAGAGUGUUGCAGGGGAGACUGGAAUUCCUGGUGUAGCGGUGAAAUGCGCAGAUAUCAGGAGGAACACCGAUGGCGAAGGCGGGUCUCUGGGCCGAGUACUGACGCUGAGGAGCGAAAGCAUGGGUAGCGAACAGG